rnacentral:tRNA from 1 species
CGCGAAGUAGAGCAGCGGUAGCUCGUCGGGCUCAUAACCCGAAGGUCAGAGGUUCGAUCCCUCUCUUCGCAACCA